GAACUGAAACAUCUAAGUACCCCGAGGAAAAGAAAUCAACCGAGAUUCCCCCAGUAGCGGCGAGCGAACGGGGAGGAGCCCAGAGCCUGAAUCAGUGUGUGUGUUAGUGGAAGCGUCUGGAAAGGCGCGCGAUACAGGGUGACAGCCCCGUACACAAAAAUGCACAUACUGUGAGCUCGAUGAGUAGGGCGGGACACGUGGUAUCCUGUCUGAAUAUGGGGGGACCAUCCUCCAAGGCUAAAUACUCCUGACUGA
rnacentral:rRNA from 1 species